GACGAACGCUGGCGGCGUGCUUAACACAUGCAAGUCGAACGGAAAGGCCCUGCUUUUGUGGGGUGCUCGAGUGGCGAACGGGUGAGUAACACGUGAGUAACCUGCCCUUGACUUUGGGAUAACUUCAGGAAACUGGGGCUAAUACCGGAUAGGAGCUCCUGCUGCAUGGUGGGGGUUGGAAAGUUUCGGCGGUUGGGGAUGGACUCGCGGCUUAUCAGCUUGUUGGUGGGGUAGUGGCUUACCAAGGCUUUGACGGGUAGCCGGCCUGAGAGGGUGACCGGCGACAUUGGGACUGAGAGACGGCCCAGACUCCUACGGGAGGCAGCAGUGGGGAAUAUUGCAGAAUGGGCGGAAGCCUGAUGCAGAAACGCUGCGUGCGGGAUGACGGCCUUCGGGUUGUAAACCGCUUUCGCCUGUGACGAAGCGUGAGUGACGGUAAUGGGUAAAGAAGCACCGGCUAACUACGUG
rnacentral:rRNA from 1 species